AUUGAACGCUGGCGGCAGGCCUAACACAUGCAAGUCGAACGGUAACAGGAAGAAGCUUGCUUCUUUGCUGACGAGUGGCGGACGGGUGAGUAAUGUCUGGGAAACUGCCUGAUGGAGGGGGAUAACUACUGGAAACGGUAGCUAAUACCGCAUAAUGUCGCAAGACCAAAGAGUGGGACCUUCGGGCCUCUUGCCAUCGGAUGUGCCCAGAUGGGAUUAGCUAGUAGGUGGGGUACCGGCUCACCUAGGCGCCGAUCCCCAGCUGGUCUGAGAGGCUGACCAGCCGCACUGGAACUGAGACACGGUCCAGACUCCUACGGGAGGCAGCAGUGGGGAAUAUUGCACAAUGGGCGCAAGCCUGAUGCAGCUAUGCCGCGUGUAUGAAGAAGGCCUUCGGGUUGUAAAGUACUUUCAGCGGGGAGGAAGGGAGUAAAGUUAAUACCUUUGCUCAUUGACGUUACCCGCAGAAGAAGCACCGGCUAACUCCGUG
rnacentral:rRNA from 1 species